GGGAUUAUUCUGGACUGCUUCGAGAAGAGUGGCAGAAAGCUUUCUUAAAGAGGAAAAAUGACAAUAGUGGUCAAUCUGGUGUCAGAGAUAUUAAUAGUGCAUCCACUGUUGGAAUUCAACCCGAGCCUGGUGAGAGUAAAGAGCAUCCGGUUUGUCCUGGUAACUCUAAAUCCUCUACUGAAAAAGAAAACCUGUCCCCUAGAUCAACACGCGAAUCACAUUGUAAUGAAACUGGUAGUUUCAAUGGGAAGGAGGAUUUAUUGCCUGGAGGAU
rnacentral:misc_RNA from 1 species